GCAGAGAGAAGAGUUAUAGCAGUAGUUUAGGUAAGCAGUAAUAAGACUGUUAACUAGGGCUAGGGUAAUGUACAGGAAGAAAAGGCGGUGUGAGACAGUAGGGAGAAGGAAUUGACAGCCUCUGAUGAAUCAUUGGUAAUGGGGAAAAGGAGGGAGAUAAAUCAAAGAACACUCAGAGGUCUUGAGAUUCUGUGACUAAAAAUGAAUAUUGGAAACCAUCAGCAAGAAAUCGGGAGGAAGAGCUAAACUGUGCGGGGAAAAUGAUGAGUGGCCUUGGUAUACUUUGUGGUAACAACCUUAGCAAAUCUCCACCCACGUGAAAAGUGCCGUGAGGACUUGAAAAUGGAAGUCUGGGACUUGGGAGAAUCAUCAGGAAAUCAUGUAAAGAGGUAAAACUUAAAGGAGCCUGGGAGUUUAUGCACCUCCACCUUCCUGGACCAAGCAGCAGCCAAUGACUAACACAGGGAUCUACAAAAGGCCAAUUCUCACCUCCAGUAGAACCAGAUCUGCAAGCAGAGAUACCUCAGGAAUAUUAACCAACUCAGCCCUUCAACAACAAUUAUCCUUAUUAAAUAAAAUCUGUAUCAGCUGAAUCUUAGCACAAAAGAAAUUAGAACUGCUAUGGCAAAUCUGCAGUGUAAAUCCAUGGAAGUAACUGAUUUCCGCAAGAGAAUAUUAAUCAAGAAAAGUUUUAACUUUAUCAACUGCACUAAUGAAAAGACAUUUUCUGUUACAUAUCACACAAAGCCUGAUGGGGUGAAGGAGUGCAAGCCUUAAGCCUCUAGAUUUUAGCUGAUGUAUUACUUCUCCAAGUUCACAAUGCUUUUGAAGUGCCUCAGAUCUUAAAUCAAGGAACUUGCACUACAAAGAAGAGAGCCGCAGUGAAAUUAACUUUUUCCUAUCCUUGUAUAUGGUAUUAUUUUUCUUGUCUUAGCCCCUUAACAUGAAAGAUGUAGAAUACUAAGACAGGCAGACAUUUAUAUAAAGACCUGAAUGGCUAAUUUAGUGAGCAAAUAAAUCUGAGACACAAAUCUCCCUGCCCCUUAACCCAUCAUCAGCAAUUCCAAUCAAGCUAGUCUGUUCCUAAACUGGAAUCUCAUUGCAGUUGCAACCUUUUUUUUUUUUUUUUUGGCAAGUUACAUUAUUUUCUUUAAUGCAGAUUAAACAGCAAAACAAGCAUAUUGUCAAAAUUCCAUUUUAAAAUGAAUCAGAAGUGUCUUGCUCUAAAUCUCUAAGCACCAGGUCCUACAUCUGUGAAGUGGAAAUCCUACUAGUGCCUACCUGGUAGGCUUAGUGUGUUUAUUAAAUGAGACAAUGUAUAUAAAUCAGCAUACAGUGCCUGACAUAAAGCAAAUGCAUAAUACACAUUAGUUCAUGUUAUUUUCUUGCACAGAAUUUUUGAGGGGUAAUCUGAUUAUCUUCACAAUUUCCCACUGUGAUCACAGUAUUUAUUUACAUGCUGUGAAAAAUAAACUAAUCAAUGGGAAGAGGAAAUAAGUUGUAGCUAUAUAUGUUUACUGAAAUACAUUUUUGUCUGUUCUAAAGUUCACAGAAAGAGGGAUACCUGGGUGGUUUGGGGUUGAAUGUCUGCCUUGGGCUCAGGGUGGGAUCCCAGAGUUCUGGGAUCAAGUCCUGAGCCCUGCAUCAG